rnacentral:piRNA from 1 species
UGUUAUGCCAGAGUGUAGGAUCAGUCCUC